rfam:Rattus norvegicus chromosome 14, whole genome shotgun sequence.
GGGGAUUUAGCUCAGUGGUAGAGCGCUUGCCUGGCAAGCGCGGGGCCCUGGGUUCGGUCCCCAGCUCCG